UGAAUCCAGAGCCCAUCCUCCUGCCCACCACACUGGAAGGCUUCUCUGUGAAAUUCUGAUGGGCAGAAAAAGCCAAACCAGAAAAUCUCUAGAGCGGUGUUUUAAAAACACAAUUCUAACCUCCACUGCUCUUUCCCCACCUUUCCUAAAAGCACCUUAUUAACAGCAAAAUGGGAACUUUCCGUGUGGCUGGCUAUGGGAAAAGAAAUACUUAACUUUUCUCACUGUUAGAAUCUGAUGACUUUACAAAUCACAUCAAGAACUACCACCAUCUACCUAUUGUAAAACUGGAAGGAGUAAGGCAUUGCUUUUGGCAUCAGAGAGGUACAUGCAGACAAACUGAAAAAUAUAUACCUGGGAAUGUGACCAGUCGACUUCCUGAUCAUCAUUAGUGGAUGCCCCUGGUGAAUACACUGGCUACUGAGAUUUAUGGACCACUAGCCAUGUGCCACACAUCAGGCUUUAACUGCAAUAUCUAUGAGAGUGCCACAGCAGCCUGGUGAGGGAGGUACUAUCGUCCUGCAGAAGAGGAACUUGAGGCUUAGUGGCUGCACAGCUUGGAUGAGGAAGGACUCAAGCUCAGCUUGCCCAAUUCUGGAGCCAGCACACUCUGGCCCUGCUCUAGUGAAAGCAAAGGGGUAAGAUUCUCAGGUCCACUCUUGCCUACCUCUUGCUUCUCCAAUCUUUCCUUUCUUCCCUGAUGGAUCCAAGGGUACCCCAAGGAGAAGAAACCCCUCCCUAUGAGCUCCAGCCAGAUGGAGGUAGCAGCGGGGCCUACAGGGAUCCUCGAUCCCUGUAACUUCAUCUUUUCGCUGGCCUGCAGGACACAGGAGGCUUAAAAGUCCAAAUUUUCACUCUUUUGGAACUUUCUGAGAACCUCCUAAAACUCAUUUUCCCCGUUUGCAUGUUGGCCUCAGCUUUACAGGAACAGUAGGGAGAAUGGCAGGCAGAGGUAUUUCAAGCUCUCUGUUCUCCCAGUGACCUUGUCCUGUGCUGCUUUCUAGAGAACAAGACCAAUAAAAGAUGGUGACAGUAAGUGUUGGCAUCUCCUCCUCUCUGUGCCCACAGCCACGACAGCUCUGGUUCCCCGGAGAAAAAAGCAGGAUGGCUGCUGACACCUAACUUCCGAGAGGAAGGCAAUUUCUGCAGCUAGACGAAUGCUGUACUGGAGAAGAAGGGCCUCUUUGAAGGAACCAAGGCUAUCAGACGCCAUCUUCUCUUCCCAGAUCAGGACUCCGUGCUCCAUGUGAGAAACAGAGCCUAUUCCUCUGUGUCAGGAGGAAAAAUGAGCACAGUCAAAAGCAAUGGCCCUCAGGGGGUGGCCCUUGCGAUGAGUACCCUGUCUGUUUUACUCAGCCUUAUAUCUCUAGUGCUGGAACAGUGCCUGACACACAGUACGUGCACAAUAAAUACAUGCAUCAUGUGUGAUGAAUUAGACUGAAUCAGGUUCUGAGAAGUCAAGAGAACCUAACCCAAAAGGAGAUCAAAGGAAGCAACCCUUACA
rnacentral:lncRNA from 10 species